UGUUCUAAUAUGUGGGUCCAUGUUUUCUAUUCAUCGGUAAAUAAAUAACCAAUAUUCAAAUCAAAACAACCAGAAAGCAUAGAUAAUACUUCAAAUAUCAGCCAAAAUAAGUCUGUUACAUCAUAUAACUUAGAUACAAUGGUAAUCACAGCCACAAGCUCUACAAGUCUCUACAAGUGUAAUCGCAACCACAAGCUCUACAAGUGCCCUUUGACAACUUCAAGUAGCCCUUCGGUUUCUAUCAGUCCCGAUUUGAGGAACACACCAGGCUUCAGGGUCUUCUCCAUAGUGUCGACCAAAGAUCUCACCCUUCAUCGGCAUCAGAGUGAUGCACCUGAACAUGGCAGGGAAAAGGAUUACCUGCCAAAAGCCAAAUUUAUACAAGAUAUCAGCCUUUCAGUGGUGCAGAAUAUCAUAGAACCAUGCUUCAGCAUUACAGGGCAUGGAAACGUAAAAUGCAAUUUUUUCACAAAAGGCGUACAAUCACAAAUUUACUAUCCACAAAAUUAAAUUGGAAAAAACAAGUGAAACAGUGAAGUGCAUGUCAGCCUUAGUGUUUCUAUUUCCUACAAAUGACUGAGACCAUGGUGUUUCAACCUUUUGCAAAACACUAUUCUAUAACAAUAUAUAUUGAGCAUGCUACAGCAAAAGCUUGAAUUUAUGGUUUCUAUACUUCUACAUUAUACAUCCUCAGUAAUAUAGACCUUUUUGCUACAUACUGUACACGACAAUAGGAGAAAAAUUCUAAUAAAUUCAUUACACGCUUGCCAAUAAAAAUGACAAGUUAACUACACACCAGGGAACAUAAACUUGAGAGGUUAAGAUCAAGGCCUAUCAACUACGUCAUAUAUAUGCAUUAAAAAAGAAGGCCAUAUGGACGACCAAUGCAUCAUAAUUAUCAGUUUUAAACACUACAGGACCAGAAAGUAGGUGCUACUUCAAGUUUUAGAACUCAACCAUUCAUCAGUAAUAGUAGCAAUUUAAUCUUACUAAAGAUAGGCACUACAGCCAGAACUUACACGCAAAGAUCCUGGAAUUUUAUGCACAACACCAGCAGAUUAACUAUAUGAACACAAUACCAGAAUUUUAUGCAUCAUGAAUGAAGAAAUCAAAAUAGGAUGCUUCGCUUUACUUGUGUGCGGAGGAUAAGCAAAAGUAGCAUCACAUGCUUUUCCUAUUUGCUUUGCUUUCCUAUUAGUAUCUCCGGUCAAUCAAACAGGAUGCAGUAAGUGAUUACAUUAACCCUGAUUCAAAUAUUUGAAGUACUGGACAAUCAUUUCAUGCAGCCAUUCCUAAACAUACUACUACAAGGGAAUUACAACUUUUAUUUUAAGCCUAAUGUUUAAGUACGUAAACUUUCCUCAAGAGUCCCUACACACUACUACUCAACUACCAUACGUGCGUAGUACUCUGUCAGUAAGCAGCAGAGGAGAUUGAAACGUAAGGACCAUGUGUGUGUGUGUGUGUGUAGAAAACACACACAAUAAACACUGAACAUCACUAGUCACCCUACACAUAGCAAGCUUCAGAUGUUUAGAACAGAUCAACAUGUUGAGCAGUUAGGGAAUCACGAGAAGGAAGUAGGAAGGUGGAUCAUGAUGGUCUCACCUUGUUGCCGUCGUCCUCAUCCAACCCCGGCGACCAAGUACACAUCCAAGCCAGUUCACGAAUCCAUGGGUGCUAGCUUGCCUACCAGCACCAGCAUUGUGCCCCUGGAUGCCACAAAAACAACCUGACUUGUAAGCAUAGAUAGAGAAGAACAAAAGCGAAACAACACACUAAUGCUAAAGUGCCUCCGAGUAUAAUCUUAAUAUAGCCAGCAACACUUAAAAGAAAUAAUAUCUAUAGAAGAUUCCAUACAAAGUAGAACAGUUGUACUUGGCAAUGCACACAUAGCUACUGGUAACUGGUUAUUUUGGUUCAUUGUCAUCAAAUUAAAAAAGAACCAAAGGAACAUACAAAGAGU
rnacentral:lncRNA from 1 species